rnacentral:rRNA from 1 species
UACAGAGGGGGCAAGCGUUAUUCGGAAUUAUUGGGCGUAAAGGGCGCGUAGGCGGCAUUGCAAGUGGAAGGUGAAAUCCCUCGGCUUAACCGAGGAACUGCCCUCCAAACUGCGUUGCUUGAGUCCGGGAGAGGUGAGUGGAACUGCGAGUGUAGAGGUGAAAUUCGUAGAUAUUCGCAAGAACACCAGUGGCGAAGGCGGCUCACUGGCCCGGUACUGACGCUGAGGAGCGAAAGCGUGGGGAGCGAACAGG